rnacentral:rRNA from 1 species
UACGUAGGGGGCAAGCGUUGUCCGGAUUUAUUGGGCGUAAAGAGCGUGUAGGCGGCCAGAUAGGUCAGCUGUGAAAAACUCGAGGCUCAACCUCGAGACGUCGGUUGAAACCGUAUGGCUAGAGUCCGGAAGAGGAGAGUGGAAUUCCCGGUGUAGCGGUGAAAUGCGCAGAUAUCGGGAAGAACACCCGUGGCGAAGGCGGCUCUCUGGGACGGUACUGACGCUGAGACGCGAAAAGCGUGGGGGAGCGAACAGG